UACGUAGGGGGCAAGCGUUGUCCGGAUUUAUUGGGCGUAAAGAGCGUGUAGGCGGCCAGACAGGUCCGUUGUGAAAACUCGAGGCUCAACCUCGAGAUGUCGAUGGAAACCGUCUGGCUAGAGUCCGGAAGAGGAGUGUGGAAUUCCUGGUGUAGCGGUGAAAUGCGUAGAUAUCAGGAGGAACACCAAUGGCGAAGGCAGCUCGCUGGGACGGUACUGACGCUGAGACGCGAAAGCGUGGGGAGCAAACAGG
rnacentral:rRNA from 1 species